AGGUGCAAUCAUACCAGCACUAAUGCAUCGGAUCCCAUUAGAACUCCGCAGUUAAGCGUUCUUGGGCGAGAGUAGUACUAGGAUGGGUGACCUCCUGGAAAGUCCUUGUGUUGCACCUCUCCCACGC
rnacentral:rRNA from 1 species